AGAGUUUGAUCCUGGCUCAGGAUGAACGCUAGCGACAGGCUUAACACAUGCAAGUCGAGGGGCAGCACAGGUAGCAAUACCGGGUGGCGACCGGCGCACGGGUGAGUAACGCGUAUGCAACUUGCCUAUCAGAGGGGGAUAACCCGGCGAAAGUCGGACUAAUACCGCAUGAAGCAGGGAUCCCGCAUGGGAAUAUUUGCUAAAGAUUCAUCGCUGAUAGAUAGGCAUGCGUUCCAUUAGGCAGUUGGCGGGGUAACGGCCCACCAAACCGACGAUGGAUAGGGGUUCUGAGAGGAAGGUCCCCCACAUUGGUACUGAGACACGGACCAAACUCCUACGGGAGGCAGCAGUGAGGAAUAUUGGUCAAUGGGCGUAAGCCUGAACCAGCCAAGUCGCGUGAGGGAUGAAGGUUCUAUGGAUCGUAAACCUCUUUUAUAAGGGAAUAAAGUGCGGGACGUGUCCCGUUUUGUAUGUACCUUAUGAAUAAGGAUCGGCUAACUCCGUGCCAGCAGCCGCGGUAAUACGGAGGAUCCGAGCGUUAUCCGGAUUUAUUGGGUUUAAAGGGUGCGUAGGCGGCCUUUUAAGUCAGCGGUGAAAGUCUGUGGCUCAACCAUAGAAUUGCCGUUGAAACUGGGGGGCUUGAGUAUGUUUGAGGCAGGCGGAAUGCGUGGUGUAGCGGUGAAAUGCUUAGAUAUCACGCAGAACCCCGAUUGCGAAGGCAGCCUGCCAAGCCAUGACUGACGCUGAUGCACGAAAGCGUGGGGAUCAAACAGGAUUAGAUACCCUGGUAGUCCACGCAGUAAACGAUGAUCACUAGCUGUUUGCGAUACACUGUAAGCGGCACAGCGAAAGCGUUAAGUGAUCCACCUGGGGAGUACGCCGGCAACGGUGAAACUCAAAGGAAUUGACGGGGGCCCGCACAAGCGGAGGAACAUGUGGUUUAAUUCGAUGAUACGCGAGGAACCUUACCCGGGUUUGAACGCAUUUGGACCGAGGUGGAAACACCUUUUCUAGCAAUAGCCGUUUGCGAGGUGCUGCAUGGUUGUCGUCAGCUCGUGCCGUGAGGUGUCGGCUUAAGUGCCAUAACGAGCGCAACCCUUGCCACUAGUUACUAACAGGUAAAGCUGAGGACUCUGGUGGGACUGCCAGCGUAAGCUGCGAGGAAGGCGGGGAUGACGUCAAAUCAGCACGGCCCUUACAUCCGGGGCGACACACGUGUUACAAUGGCGUGGACAAAGGGAAGCCACCUGGCGACAGGGAGCGAAUCCCCAAACCACGUCUCAGUUCGGAUCGGAGUCUGCAACCCGACUCCGUGAAGCUGGAUUCGCUAGUAAUCGCGCAUCAGCCAUGGCGCGGUGAAUACGUUCCCGGGCCUUGUACACACCGCCCGUCAAGCCAUGGGAGCCGGGGGUACCUGAAGUCCGUAACCGCGAGGAUCGGCCUAGGGUAAAACUGGUGACUGGGGCUAAGUCGUAACAAGGUAGCC
rnacentral:rRNA from 1 species